AGACCCGAAACCCGGUGAUCUAGCCAUGGGCAGGUUGAAGGUUGGGUAACACUAACUGGAGGACCGAACCGACUAAUGUUGAAAAAUUAGCGGAUGACCUGUGGCUGGGGGUGAAAGGCCAAUCAAACCGGGAGAUAGCUGGUUCUCCCCGAAAGCUAUUUAGGUAGCGCCUCGUGAAUUCAUCUCCGGGGGUAGAGCACUGUUUCGGCUAGGGGGCCAUCCCGGCUUACCAACCCGAUGCAAACUGCGAAUACCGGAGAAUGUUAUCACGGGAGACACACGGCGGGUGCUAACGUCCGUCGUGAAGAGGGAAACAACCCAGACCGCCAGCUAAGGUCCCAAAGUCAUGGUUAAGUGGGAAACGAUGUGGGAAGGCCCAGACAGCCAGGAUGUUGGCUUAGAAGCAGCCAUCAUUUAAAGAAAGCGUAAUAGCUCACUGGUCGAGUCGGCCUGCGCGGAAGAUGUAACGGGGCUAAACCAUGCACCGAAGCUGCGGCAGCGACACUCAGGUGUUGUUGGGUAGGGGAGCGUUCUGUAAGCCUGCGAAGGUGGCCUGUGAGGGUUGCUGGAGGUAUCAGAAGUGCGAAUGCUGACAU
rnacentral:rRNA from 1 species